GUGCUCGCUUUGGCAGCACAUAUACUAAAAUUGGAACGAUACAAAGGUUAGCAUGGCCCCUGCGCAUGGAUGACAUGCAAAUUCGUGAAGCGUUUCAUAUUUUA